UGAGGAAUAUUGGUCAAUGGACGCAAGUCUGAACCAGCCAAGUAGCGUGCAGGAUGACGGCCCUAUGGGUUGUAAACUGCUUUUAUAUGGGAAUAAAGUGAGGGACGUGUCCCUUAUUGCAUGUACCAUACGAAUAAGGACCGGCUAAUUCCGUGCCAGCAGCCGCGGUAAUACGGAAGGUCCAGGCGUUAUCCGGAUUUAUUGGGUUUAAAGGGAGCGUAGGCUGUUUGUUAAGCGUGUUGUGAAAUGUAAGAGCUCAACUUUUAGAUUGCAGCGCGAACUGGCAGACUUGAGUGCGCACAACGUAGGCGGAAUUCAUGGUGUAGCGGUGAAAUGCUUAGAUAUCAUGACGAACUCCGAUUGCGAAGGCAGCUUACGGGAGCGCAACUUACGCUAAAGCUCGAAGGUGCGGGUAUCGAACAGG
rnacentral:rRNA from 1 species